rnacentral:rRNA from 1 species
UACGAAGGGUGCAAGCGUUACUCGGAAUUACUGGGCGUAAAGCGUGCGUAGGUGGUUUGUUAAGUCUGUUGUGAAAGCCCCGGGCUCAACCUGGGAAUGGCAAUGGAUACUGGCAAGCUAGAGUGCGGUAGAGGGUAGUGGAAUUCCCGGUGUAGGCGGUGAAAUGCGUAGAGAUCGGGAGGAACACCAGUGGCGAAGGCGGCUACCUGGACCAGCACUGACACUGAGGCACGAAAGCGUGGGGAGCAAACAGG